rnacentral:sRNA from 1 species
UAUUAUAGGAUAUCAUGUGUAUCAUUGAGUAUAAGAACUAGAACCGCAACCGAUUCCCAAAAGCUAAAGUAAUGUUUCUUGUUUGUAGAUACAAAUCCAAAGACUCAUACCGACUUCGGCGACACCAUCAAAGCUUUGUGAGGCAAUAAGAAGCUUGGUUAGUUUUUCGGAAUCAAAUAUGGCUAGAUGUCAUGUGUAUGAUUGAGUAUAAGAACUAGAACCGCAACUAAUUCCGAAAAGCUAAAUUAAUGUUUCCUUGUUAGAAGAUACAAAGCUAAAAACUCAUACGGACUCCGGCUAAGCCAUUAAUGUUUUGAGAAGCAAUAAGAAGCUUGGUUAUUU